rnacentral:tRNA from 1 species
AAUUAUUACUUUGGCAGAAUAGUGUGAUGAGUUUAGAAUUCAUUUAUGUAAAUUAUUACAAGUAAUA